CGUUUAAAUAAGCUAUUAUGGUCCGAAUUAUUUUGUUAGAAUAUAUUCCACGAUAUGAAGACACAUACAACUAUGUUUGUAGACCGGGGUUUAUAUUGUGCAACAUUUUACACAGGUAACGUUAGACGUGAUGUUCUAAUGUCAAGCUAAUGAGUCUUCAUCAGCUGCAACAACUCGAGUGAUAACUUGUCCAACUCCACGAGAGGCAUCCAGCUGCAGCCCCGCAGACUCACUUUCUUGCUAGACACCAGUGGCUGGACACCAGUGGAUGGACAGCAGACGUCAUUUCCGUAUCGUCAUUCACUUUUCAAAUUGACGUAAUUUCCGUACCGUCGUUCACUUUUCAAUUUUGACGCGCCAUGCAGAUGUCAGCGGUGUGGUGAAUGUCAAAAAACUGCCCCAGGCUGUAAGAGACAUGUGUGUCCCUUUUAAAAUUGUACAAUGCAGAAAUUGCAGAUGUUUUUUCAAAGACUGGGUGGGGUACUGUGGAAACGGAAGAUGUGGAGACCUGCGAGGGUUUUAUACAGACCCUGAAUUUCCUGAGCAUUGCCCAGACUGCCAGUUUUAGGGGGCAGGAAUGAGGUGUGGUGUGCACAGUGUGCAAUAGUCUAUUUGGAACUGUUCAUGUUUUAUUUUCUCUUGAAAUAGGGCCUGACUGUGGCAUCUUCGUUCUGAUGGUCAGAUUUGACAAGUUUUACUAAUUAGAUUGUGUAAAUUCCAAUAAAUAUUGCAAAACCAUGAAGUGUUAAUUUGAUCUGGAUUGUUUGGUAAAUUGUCUGAUCAUGUGAAUCUACGUAUAUUUUCAAAACAGAAGUGGUUACAUUUACAAAAAAAA